UUUAGAAAGUGUUAUUCUAAGGCAUCCAUACGCUUCACCAGACUGCCAAAGAGGUCCUGAUUUAGACACAUUCAUCUGUUUGUCAUGAUUUCUAAUUUCAUGAUGAUGACCCCAGGACUGAAACAAUACACAAAACAUACUUGUGCAUCUAGGACAUAGAGAUACCACAGAGACCCAGGUCUAUCCUUCAUUAUUCAUAUGACUCCUCCAAUGCCUUUUUGGCUGGUCCCAAGACCUCCAGAAACCUAAUCAGAACAUGACAUUUUGGUGCCUGAACAUGGACUAAGGAUCUAAACUCAACUGACUUGAUUGGAAGCCCAGUGAAGUCCCUGUGAGAUCCUGUGACCCAGGAAUAGGGUAAGUACAAAAACAGACAAGCAGGAAACUUUGGUAAGGGCUAAACUAGUUACUUUUAUUUCUCAGCAGAAAUGGGGCAAAAAACUCAGAAAAGAACCUUCCCUACCCCAAGGGAAGUGUGUAGAAAGCAUAGUUAAGUUAAUAAAGAGGCAAGGUUUGAUUGUAAUGUGGGAGCAGAUCAUUGAACUCUUCGAAACAUUAAAAUACAUGUCUCUUUGGCUAUCUAAGGAAGAAAAAUUAAAGCCAGAUAAGUGGGAAUUAGUGGGAG